UGGGGAAUAUUGGACAAUGGGGGAAACCCUGAUCCAGCGACGCCGCGUGUGUGAAGAAGGCCUGCGGGUUGUAAAGCACUUUUAGUGGGGAUGAAAAAUUCAGGGCUAAUAUCCCUGGGUCUUGACCUAACCCAAAGAAAAAGCACCGGCUAACUCUGUGCCAGCAGCCGCGGUAAUACAGAGGGUGCGAGCGUUAAUCGGAAUUACUGGGCGUAAAGCGUGCGUAGACGGUUAGAUAAGUCGGGUGUGAAAGCCCCGGGCUCAACCUGGGAAUUGCAUUCGAGACUGUUUAGCUAGGGUACGGAAGAGGGAAGCGGAAUUUCAGGUGUAGCGGUGAAAUGCGUAGAUAUCUGAAGGAACACCAGUGGCGAAAGCGGCUUCCUGGUCCAGUACCGACGUUCAGGCACGAAAGCGUGGGGAGCAAACAGGAUUAGAUACCCUGGUAGUCCACGCCAUAAACGAUGAGAACUAGACGUUGGGGGGGUAAGCCCCUCAGUGUCGCAGCUAACGCGCUAAGUUCUCCGCCUGGGGAGUACGGCCGCAAGGU
rnacentral:rRNA from 1 species